CCCUGCUAAUUCACAGGCUGGACUGCAUCUUGGAUUAAUUCCUCAUUUCUCAACACUUGGAGCUGCUCAACUUGUCACCACCAGCGUGCAAACAACACCGGCCUAAUUCAUUUACCUCAGCUCACAAGAGCAAGCUCAGCUGUGGCAAGCAGCUCAAGAAGAAGCUGAUCACAGACACAAGGCAAAUACCUCUGAAAAUGACCCUGGGCCUGCUGCGGUGCCGGAACAAG
rnacentral:lncRNA from 1 species